rnacentral:rRNA from 1 species
GUGUCAGCCGCCGCGGUAAGACGUAGGACGCGAGCGUUAUCCGGAUUUACUGGGCGUAAAGCGUCUGUAGGCGGAACAGUAAGUUGGGCGUGAAAGCUUCGGGCUUAACCCGGAGAGGACGUACAAGACUGCUGAACUAGAGGCCACCAGAGGGGCGUGGAAUUUCCGGUGUAGCGGUAAAAUGCGCAGAUAUCGGAAGGAACACCAGUGGCGAAGGCGGCGCCCUGGGGUGGGCCUGACGCUAAGAGACGAAAGCUAGGGGAGCGAACAGGAUUAGAGACCCUGGUAGUCCUAGCCGUAAACGAUGGAUGCUAGGUGAGGGGCCGACAGGCUCCGUGCCGCAGCAAACGCGAUAAGCAUCCCGCCUGGGGAGUACGGUCGCAAGGCUAAAACUUAAAUGAAUUGACGG